UUUCUGCCCUCAUUUCACUUCUUCUUUCCAGACUUGGGCUCAUGGGUGCUGCCCAGAAGAAUUUUUUUUUUUACUUCUGGUCCAAAAUGGGGAAAUUCUUAGGCAUAAAAUCCAGCUCAGCUGUGGCCCAUAAAGGACCUCAUACCGCUUAUGCUUUGUCAAGCAAUCAAGUUACAUGGUCUAACUGCAGAAAUGUAACAGAUAUAGUUUGUUUGGCUUUUAACUCACUAAAAAUGUUUAAACAUAAAAAGAGGCUUAGAACAUUUACAGUCAUAUUUGAAAUCAGAAUGUGUGAAAAAUGACUUUUCUUUUCAUAUUUGAACUCAUGCAAAACCUUUGCAGUCUCCACAAAGGCACGCAGAUGCAGCGAUGGGACCUCAUGAUGGAUUGUUGGUGUGAGCACAUGGACGUGAAACCAUGAACAGAGGAAUUUGCACAGGCCAGCAUUUGUGUUUCAUUCUGAAAGCCCAGCAGAAUCAGACCCCUAACUCUGGCUGGUGUUAAACAUGAAGGCAGCGUGCAGCUUUUCUCUUGCAUGGGUUCCCAUGUAGUACUGCUGACCUGCCUCACUGCAGCUACCCUGUUCAGGCCCUUGCAUGCCUUCAGGCUUUCCUUCCGAGAGUGCUUCUGAUGCCAGAGGGUUUUGGCAACAGUUGUAAUGUGCAUGAUUAUUUCCAGUGAGGAAACCAUUGGUGAUAACAGCAAUGAGGAGGUAUGUGGGUAUAAGCCACAGCUUGCUGAAGGCAUGAGACCAUUAGGGUAUGUAAGGAUAGGCUCCUGAUGCUGUCAGAGAGGAAGCGGCUCUGCACGUGAAAUAAUGUAGGGAAGGGAAUAUGCUAAACAUAGUUUAACUCCUGAGCUGCUCCCUGUGAAUAAAGUGUUUCCAAAAGCCUUCAGAUUCGGCUUGAGCUAGGUGCUCAUUCAGCUAAUGAAAACGUUACAUGCCCUCUGUCUAACCAACCUGAUGUAUUUGCUAAGCACUACAGCGAAAAGAGAUGCUUUUUGGUCACUUUUGUUGCCAUGUUCCCUGAUACCAAUGUUGACGUUAUAAACUCAAGCAGUAUUUUAAGUUGCUGUGAUCUUAAAAUUUUGUUUUCUUACGCAGCUGCCCAGGCCAGCUUACAUGCUGAUCAGGAUCUGCUGCAGCCUGGGAAUAAUCAGGCACCAGCUUCUUGGGCAGGGGGAAAGAAAAAACGUGGGGCUGCACAAAGCCUGCGAGUUCUUCCUUUUGGAAGCGGGCACGCACCCAGGAGGAGGGAGCAGGAACAAAGGCCAGGCACCGCGCACCCACCUCGUGCCACCACCAGGAGCCGGCCAGCGGAGCUGCAAGGACAGCAAGGACAGCAUGUCCCCAGCCCUUGCCCAGCGCAGCGAACAGCCCGGCUUGGAGAGGAGAAUCAUUAAAAAUAAUUUGCAGGAGCUUUCUGUUCAGUGAGCCCUUUUUUUUUUGAUACAAUAUUUCCUUCAGUGAUUAUCGCCACGGACAUGUUCUGCCAUAUGGAUGGAGCCGGGCGAGGAGGCGGCUCAAUACCUGAGUGGUUAAUUAAGAGCUGUUGCUGGGCCACAAGAAGCAGGUUUGAAAUCCCUCUUCACUCACCGACAAUGAGUAGCUUUUUUAGCAGCAGCAGUCACUGGGGACAGCCAGAAGCGCAGGGUAAUUAUUUGAGAUAACAUAGAGCUGAAGAGCGCGUGUGCGCGCCCAUGUGUGCGAGGGGGAGCCGCGCCGGCAAGGAGGGCAAUGCUACAGAAAGUUUACAAUACAAAGGUCAACAUCUCCUAUUUUUCUGUACAGUGUCGGCAGUCUGUAAUGCCUUUUUAGAGUGAAUGACAAUGGAUUCUAUCUUUUUUUUUUUUCCUCUUAAAAAAUGAAUAUCUUAUUUGGUAUUCAAACUUCGCAACUGUGAGCGUGGGGCAGCUGGGCCAACCUGAACGAGCCAUGCUCACGUUAUUGGCGCGGAUGAUGAAAUGACUUUGAUUGCCUUGUUGCAAAGUAGCAGUAAUUCCAACAUUAACUCAUGGAAACACUGCAUACUCUCAAGAACAAAGGAGAAAAGCGGUGAAACAAAAGCCAUGAAUGAACUGAAGAACGUCCUUAACACAGACGUUUAGGGCUAAAUUCUCAGCACACUGCCACAGGAACAGCAGAGACUGUUGGCUUUAACCAGGGGACUCACCUGAGUCAGAUGAGUGUCUGGGCUUUGGCUACCACAUUGUUUGUGGUCAGGGGCACCUGGAGGUACCACUGAGGCCCUUCAGAACAUCAGUGUUCUCCAGCAGAGAUGUUCAGGGAUGCUCUUGUAGCAAUGCAUCCUGCUCAUUAGUUCUCCCAAAUGACAAAAAGCAGCAAAGUAGCUUAUAAAAGUGUUAUUUUCUACAGUGCUUCAUCUCUGAAGUGUUUAUGAAGUGCAGGACCAAGGUGCCAUUCCAGCCUACCACUGCCCAGUAUUCAGAUAGAAAGCAAACUAUGAAGCAGUGCACUGAAGUCCAUUUCAUUUCUCAGAGCUGCAGAGAGUAUGAGCAUCUGUUCUCUAACCAUCAAAGCUCAUCUACAUCAGGAGCUCAGAAUGCUAUUUCCCUGUUUGUUUGUGUGUUUCUAAGAAGGUCUUUCUACUCCUUUACUGAGAAGCCAAAUGAUGAAACCUCUGUCAUGUGUUUUUGGCAUUUCCAGAAAAUCCCACAUGUGAUUUCCAACUUAGGAGGCUUAAAUCUCCAUCCAAACAGGCGCUGUGUGCAGCUCACACAAGCAUUUAGCUUUGUGCUGUAGGGUAAAAAUAAAUUCAAGAGAGAGAACCUUCAUCUUCCUCCUCUCUACCUCCAUUUUCACAUCCUCCCAGAUGCUGGGAACAGCUCACCCAGAAUGACAGGAGACUUUGAGCAGAGGCAAUGGGAGGACAUGCAGUUACUGGGCAUCAACCAAAGCCCCAGACUAUCUGUUGGAGGGGGACAAGGCGUACCUGUGCCCCUGCUCUUUCCCAAGGCAGAUCUUGCAACCUUUGAUGUUCCUCCAGUGCAAACAAUACCACUCCAGCAGCGGCACUUUUGCCAGUGUAACUGUCUCAGCUUUGUUUAGAGACUGCCCAAUAUGUUAAUUAUCUUCUUUACCUCGGUGGCAUUAUACUGUCAAACCAUACAACAGUCUUUAGAAAAUAAAAGCUAACACCCUAAGCUGCUGUACCCGGAUCCCAUAAUAUCUAUUCACUGACAAUGCCUGAGCUGUCAGAUCAGAAGAAGCUUCAUUCGAAUAAAGGUGGGCAGAUGUGUGAUAAUGAGACAGAAGCAUACAGAUGCUAAUAUAACUGUUCAGCAGAGCAGGCUCGUCUUCGUUAGGCAGACCCAGGUAGCAGCUGCAGACUGUCAGACACUGGAAUGCUGCUUUCUCUUGAUUCUCAUUUAAGAUCAGCUUCGUUCGCUGUCUGUCAGUGAACUUUUCCCUCACAGGAGCCUGGACCCCUAGGUGAUCAGUCACAUUUCGACAUAACUAGAUGUCAAAAGAAGUUUAAGUUGUAUGACGAACUGUGAUGCAUUCCCUGUGCUGGCUGGCAGUCUCAGCCCUCCAAGGCGUCUUGUUAAUGAUCCACCUGGAAACUCUAGAGUAUUUCCCGUAUUUUGUUUUCUUAUUAAAAUACUGGCUAAGCCUUUGUCAAUAUCCAUGUCAGCAACUGUAAGCUCAAGACAAUAUUAUCACAAGCAUAAUUUGAUUUAAAAACAGAGCAGUGGACCGACACUGACCAGGUGGCAGGAGACGCACACGGAGAGAGCAGGAUGCAGGCGUUGAGCUGCUGUGAUUUAGCAUCAUCAAUUAAAACAAAAUAUUGCUGAUUUUCUCCUGGGCAGAAGCAGGGAAAAUGUAACUGAAGUUGCCCUAUGCAAUACGUCUGCAGCCAGGCAGCCAGCUCCACUGAUGAACACAACCAGGAAUAAGAUAAUGGGGAGCCUCCACAGAUGAGCACACAAUUCAAAUACGCAGGAGCUCGGAAACACAAAUAACCCGAGACUGUCACUGCACGUACUGCUGGAACCUUUCAACCAGGAGUCUCAACUCUGGCAGCCUUUCAUCUGUUGCUCAGAGCUGUUUACCCGCUCACACUCCUGUUUCAGAGAGCAGACAGGCUGAGGCUAUUUUACAUAACGUACACACGUGCCCACACAAUGCAAACUCUACUACCACAGUUGUGCAGCAAGGCCAAAUAUCGCCUGCUGCUCAGUCGUGUCAUACCAGUCUUCACAUUCCAUCUCAACUCCCCUCCUUGCUUCUCAGCAUUUGAAUUUCAACCUUACAGUUCUUGUUAGGAUCGCCAACAUAACGUGUCUGGGUACAAUUAACAGGUUUCUUACGUUCUUAAAUUUCUGAAUUAAAAGGCCACGGGGGAGGGAUUCAAUGAUUUAUGAGAUUCUUCCUUUUCUUUUUUGGGGGUGGGUGCAUUGUACAAUGCGUAUCAGCCUGAUGCUUGCAUUAUGUUUUCAUUCGAGAGCAGCUAGAUUAACAGAAUUGCUGAAAUCACAGAAUCUAAAACGCAGCUAUUGCUCGUCAUCAGAAGCCCAUGAUGCUUAAAGGGAACAUGAGAAGGCAGGCAGCUCCAUCCACGUUUGUGCGGAGGUUUCUGGCAUCUCCAGGGCUGUGGGAAGGCCACAGGGAGAGGCAGGUCCCACACCAUGCAGCCUUUGGCUCGAGCCACUGCUGCUUGCAUUUGUUCCGUGCACACAAAUCCAGCUUCUAAUGGUGAUGAAGAGUAGAUUUGGCAAUCUGGUGCUUUCCCUGCUUUCCCCAUAUCAAUAUAAUUCUUAAUUAAACACUUCUCAUGGCCAGUUGAUAUUCACUAAUACUUUCUAAUAUAAAGCAAGAUGUCUCCCCCUAGAUUCUGGUGUUUAGUAGCCUGAAGCUCAUUAGUGCAUGUGUUCUCACCCAGGAGUUUUAAAUAUUUAACUAGCUAGGAUUCUUGAAAGAGGUCUUAACCUUAUAAUUUGUAAUAACUUGGGGAUCUCAUAUCUGAAGUGUAAGUUAUUAAAAAUGUUUCUUCUCUUCACCCUGCAUUGAUUUCCUACUUCUAGCAAUCACGCUAAGAGCUAUUAGGCCAAACAACUGCAGCUGCCUAUUUAUUUCAUUGUAGUAAAACACAAGUGAUGAUAAUAGAUUUCCUAAUAGAGAUUGAUCUUGCACAAAAGCCAAAAACAAUGCACGUACCGCCUGGGUAAUACAGUGCAUUAUACAUUAUGCACUGCAUGGUUAAAAUCGUGCAGCUAGAGAAUAAUACAGGAAGGUCCACAAAAAUGAGUGUGCUGACUGAUAUAUCUUUGCACGGAAGCACAUUACUUCUGUUGCUUGUAAUGGCCUGAACAUGUGAUACAAGUAAAUUUUGUCUAAAAAUUAUCUAAGGACCACCUAAUGUGCUCUGAUGCUACUGAAUGUCAAAAAUGUCAGCAGCUUCCAGUAAUGACUCUCUGACAUAAACAGUAAGGGAGAAAUAUUACAGUUGCUGAAGGAGUUGCGAGGACAAGCAUGCAUUUUCAUGAGAGGUCUCUUUGAAUGGCAGCAAGUACUCAAGCAGGCAGCGUUCCCUGCCAGUUAAGCUGGCCAAAGAAAGCGCGCUUCCCCUGAAAGACAAUUAAAAUGAGUUAAAUGAAUUAAAAGGGCCCUGCGCAGUUAAAACAUGGUCAGAGGUUAGAAAUGGUAGUAUCUGGAUUUAUGAAAACCACGUGGCUGCCAAGCCUCAGAAAUUGUGUGUAACAAGGGAGCCAUUCGAGCAGCAACAUAAACAGCUUUAUAAAAUUGAGGGAAAUAUACAUAAUUCUUAAUUUCUAGGAGAUUAUUUUGUCAGCAGUUUUACCAUCUUAGGACCUGGGUAAAAUACUGAUUUUUAACAUUUGAUUUUUAUCAAGCCGCUUUCCUAGGGAGAGAGACUGCCAGUGUAUUUGCGACCCAGGAGCAGCAGAUAAAUGCAAUGCCC
ensembl:lncRNA